rnacentral:rRNA from 2 species
GAUUCGUCACACUAUCAUUAACUGAAUCCAUAGGUUAAUGAGGCGAACCGGGGGAACUGAAACAUCUAAGUACCCCGAGGAAAAGAAAUCAACCGAGAUUCCCCCAGUAGCGGCGAGCGAACGGGGAGGAGCCCAGAGCCUGAAUCAGCAUGUGUGUUAGUGGAAGCGUCUGGAAAGGCGCGCGAUACAGGGUGACAGCCCCGUACACAAAAGCGCAUGUGCUGUGAGCUCGAUGAGUAGGGCGGGACACGUGGUAUCCUGUCUGAAUAUGGGGGGACCAUCCUCCAAGGCUAAAUACUCCUGACUGACCGAUAGUGAACCAGUACCGUGAGGGAAAGGCGAAAAGAACCCCGGCGAGGGGAGUGAAAAAGAACCUGAAACCGUGUACGUACAAGCAGUGGGAGCACCCUUCGGGGUGUGACUGCGUACCUUUUGUAUAAUGGGUCAGCGACUUAUAUUCUGUAGCAAGGUUAACCGUAUAGGGGAGCCGGAGGGAAACCGAGUCUUAAUUGGGCGUUAAGUUGCAGGGUAUAGACCCGAAACCCGGUGAUCUAGCCAUGGGCAGGUUGAAGGUUGGGUAACACUAACUGGAGGACCGAACCGACUAAUGUUGAAAAAUUAGCGGAUGACCUGUGGCUGGGGGUGAAAGGCCAAUCAAACCGGGAGAUAGCUGGUUCUCCCCGAAAGCUAUUUAGGUAGCGCCUCGUGAAUUCAUCUCCGGGGGUAGAGCACUGUUUCGGCUAGGGGGCCAUCCCGGCUUACCAACCCGAUGCAAACUGCGAAUACCGGAGAAUGUUAUCACGGGAGACACACGGCGGGUGCUAACGUCCGUCGUGAAGAGGGAAACAACCCAGACCGCCAGCUAAGGUCCCAAAGUCAUGGUUAAGUGGGAAACGAUGUGGGAAGGCCCAGACAGCCAGGAUGUUGGCUUAGAAGCAGCCAUCAUUUAAAGAAAGCGUAAUAGCUCACUGGUCGAGUCGGCCUGCGCGGAAGAUGUAACGGGGCUAAACCAUGCACCGAAGCUGCGGCAGCGAACGUAUCACCCAAGACAACUUUACGGAGUUGACGAUUGACGGAGCGAAGCGACGUCAAAGCGUUCAUUAAAGUCGAGUUGGCUUAGGGAUACGUUCGUUGGGUAGGGGAGCGUUCUGUAAGCCUGUGAAGGUGUGUCGUGAGGCAUGCUGGAGGUAUCAGAAGUGCGAAUGCUGACAUAAGUAACGAUAAAGCGGGUGAAAAGCCCGCUCGCCGGAAGACCAAGGGUUCCUGUCCAACGUUAAUCGGGGCAGGGUGAGUCGACCCCUAAGGCGAGGCCGAAAGGCGUAGUCGA